AACGAACGCUGGCGGCAGGCCUAACACAUGCAAGUCGAGCGCCCCGCGAGGGGAGCGGCGGACGGGUGAGUAACGCGUGGGAACGUGCCCUUUGCUUCGGAAUAGCCCUGGGAAACUGGGAGUAAUACCGGAUGUGCCCCGGACUUGAUCCGGGGGAAAGAUUUAUCGGCAAGGGAUCGGCCCGCGUUGGAUUAGGUAGGUGGUGGGGUAACGGCCUACCAAGCCGACGAUCCAUAGCUGGUUUGAGAGGAUGAUCAGCCACACUGGGACUGAGACACGGCCCAGACUCCUACGGGAGGCAGCAGUGGGGAAUCUUGGACAAUGGGGGCAACCCUGAUCCAGCCAUGCCGCGUGAGCGAUGAAGGCCUUCGGGUUGUAAAGCUCUUUCGUGGGGGAAGAUAAUGACUGUACCCCAAGAAGAAGCCCCGGCUAACUCCGUGCCAGCCGCCGCGGUAACAC
rnacentral:rRNA from 1 species